rnacentral:rRNA from 1 species
UGAGGAAUAUUGGUCAAUGGACGGGAGUCUGAGCCAGCCAAGUAGCGUGCAGGACGACGGCCCUAUGGGUUGUAAACUGCUUUUAUAGGGGGAUAAAGUGUGCCACGUGUGGCAUAUUGCAGGUACCCUAUGAAUAAGGACCGGCUAAUUCCGUGCCAGCAGCCGCGGUAAUACGGAAGGUCCGGGCGUUAUCCGGAUUUAUUGGGUUUAAAGGGAGCGUAGGCCGUCUUAUAAGCGUGUUGUGAAAUGUCGGGGCUCAACCUGGGCAUUGCAGCGCGAACUGUGAGACUUGAGUGCGCAGGAAGUAGGCGGAAUUCGUCGUGUAGCGGUGAAAUGCUUAGAUAUGACGAAGAACUCCGAUUGGGAAGCCAGCUUACUGUAGCGCCACUGACGC